GGAGGGUGCGAGCGUUGUCCGGAUUUACUGGGCGUAAAGCGCACGUAGGCGGUUUUGUAAGUCACCUGUGAAAUCCCGGGGCUCAACUCCGGGGCUGCAGGUGAUACUGCAGAACUAGAGCUCGGUAGAGGCAAGUGGAAUUCCCGGUGUAGCGGUGGAAUGCGUAGAUAUCGGGAAGAACACCAGUGGCGAAGGCGGCUUGCUGGGCCGAUGCUGACGCUGAGGUGCGAAAGCGUGGGGGGAGCAAACAGGAUUAGAUACCCUGGUAGUCCACGCCGUAAACGAUGGGUACUAGGCGUCGGGGGGGAGCGACCCCCCUUCGGUGCCGUCGCUAACGCACUAAGUACCCCGCCUGGGGGAGUACGGCCGCAAGGCUG
rnacentral:rRNA from 1 species